UGGAUGAGUGAUUUGUGGACGAGUGAUGUGUGGUUGGGUGAUUUGUGGACGGGUGAUAUGUGGAUGAGUGAUGAAUAAUGUGUGGAUAUGUGAUGUUAAUGUGUUUAUAGUAGAUAACGUGGACAAACUCUCUGUUUUGAUUCCAUAAAACUAUACAACAAUACAUUGACAUGAACUUGUAUUACUAAAAUUAUACCAUAAAACGUGGACACGGACUCUGUUAUCUCCAA
rnacentral:lncRNA from 1 species